UACGGGGGGGGUAAGCGUUGUUCGGAAUUACUGGGCGUAAAGGGCUCGUAGGCGGCCAACUAAGUCAGACGUGAAAUCCCUCAGCUUAACUGGGGAACUGCGUCUGAUACUGGAUGGCUUGGAUUCGGGAGAGGAAUGCGGAAUUCCGGGUGUAGCGGUGAAAUGCGUAGAUAUCUGGAGGAACACCGGUGGCGAAGGCGGCAUUCUGGACCGACAUUGACGCUGAGGAGCGAAAGCCAGGGGAGCAAACGGG
rnacentral:rRNA from 1 species